rnacentral:rRNA from 1 species
GACAGAGGUCUCAAGCGUUAGGCGGAAUCACUGGGCUUAAAGCGUGUGUAGGCGGAUUCCUAAGUACCUUGUGAAAUCCCCGGGCUUAACCCGGGAACUGCUUGGUAUACUGGGUGUCUUGAGCCAACUAGGGGCGACCGGAACAAACGGUGGAGCGGUGAAAUGCGUAGAUAUCGUUUGGAACGCCAAUGGUGAAAACAGGUCGCUGGGGUUGUGCCGACGCUGAGGCGCGAAAGCCAGGGGAGCGAACGGG